GCCUUCGGGGUACAGUGGUCAGCACGCUCGACGCGUAACCGAGAGGUACGUGGUUCGAGUCCCGGCGAGGGCA
rnacentral:tRNA from 1 species